rnacentral:rRNA from 1 species
AGUGAACGCUGGCGGUAGGCCUAACACAUGCAAGUCGAGCGACAGCACAGUAAGCGUUUGCUCUUACGGUUGGCGACUGACGGACGGGUGAGACAUACAUAGGCAUCUAAUUUUUCGUGGGGGAUAACGUAGGGCCACUUACGCUAAUACCUCAUACGACCUACCGCUGAAAGCAGGAGAUCAUCACACCUUGCGCGACUGUUUGAGCCGAUGUCGGAUUAGCUAGUUGGCGGGGUAAAGGCACACCAAGGCGACGAUCCGUAGCUGGUCUGAGAGGAUGAUCAGCCACACUGGAACUGAGACACGGUCCAGACUCCUACGGGAGGCAGCAGUAGGGAAUAUUGGGCAAUGGGCGCAAGCCUGAUCGAGCCAUACCGCGUGAGUGAAGAAGGUCUUCGGAUUGUAAAACUCUUUUAUUGGGGAAGAAAAGCAGCGUAUGUAUACCCCGCUGUUCUGACGGUACCUAAACAAUAAGCACCGGCUAACUUCGUG